AAGACUGGCCUGAUCAUCCAAAU
rnacentral:piRNA from 1 species